rnacentral:rRNA from 1 species
AUUGAACGCUGGCGGCAGGCCUAACACAUGCAAGUCGAACGAGUGGCGGACGGGUGAGUAAUGUAUGGGAAACUGCCCGAUGGAGGGGGAUAACUACUGGAAACGGUAGCUAAUACCGCAUACCAUCAGAUGUACCCAUAUGGGAUUAGCUAGAAGGUGGGGUAACGGCUCACCUAGGCGACGAUCCCUAGCUGGUCUGCUAGGAUGACCAGCCACACUUGAACUGAGACACGUCCCAGACUCCUACGGGAGGCAGCAGUGGGGAAUAUUGCACAAUGGGCGCAAGCCUGAUGCAGCCAUGCCGCGUGUAUGAAGAAGGCCUUCGGGUUGUAAAGUACUUUCAGCGAGGAGGCGUUACUCGCAGAAGAAGCACCGGCUAACUCCGUGCCAGCAGCCGCGGUAAUAC